UCCGAGGCUAAUAUUCCCUAAACGGAACAUCAUAUAUUCUUGGAGGAUGAUGACAGAGAAAUCGCUCCAUCUCCUCUUCUGCUUAGUUUUCUCUAGAAAAGAAGCAGACAUAGACUCCCAAUCCCGCAACCCAAUUCUUUGAAUAUAUUGUGCAUGAUUGUUCCUUUUGCCUUUAUUUCUUGGUGGUUUAUUUUUGUUUAGUUGAGGGAGAUGGGAAGGAAUCAAGAAAGCAAAGCAGGGGUGUUCUUCAUGGCGACUUUAGUGAUGUGGGCUGUCUCAGUUCUCUUUGAAAUCGGGUUCAAUAAGCGCUCUGAGCUGCUUCCAAUCAUUGGGGGCUUCUUGUUUUACCAAUCUGCCAACUGGGUCAUUCGCAAUUACCUCUCUCGUGAUCCUCUCUUUGUUAACACCUGUGUUUCUCUGCUCCAUUCCUCCAUUACCUCUGCUACAGUGGUCAUUAUCAUAAUCAAUCGGUGGAUGACAAGUAGUACAAAAGACAUGUUUGAGCAUUCGCAGUUGGUUGAGACUACUUGGCCUGGAGCAUAUGCAGCUUUGUGCAUCUCAAGUGGUUACUUUGCUUAUGAUCAGGGGGAUAUGUUACUUUAUCAUCUAUACAGUGGUCCAAUCCCUUCUAUCUUAUCUCAUCAUCUUAUACUCCUUAUUUGCUUUAUUCUUGCCCUAUAUCGGAAUGUUACAAUCAACUAUCUCAUUCUCACCUUGAUUUGUGAGCUGCAUUCAGUAAUUUUGCACAUGCGAAAGGUGCGGCGGAUGACUGGUGUUCGUGAUGCCCGUAUCAAAGUUGUGAAAAUAGAAUGGGUUGUCAACCUGAUUACCUUUGUUUUAGCAAGAUUUUCGUCUCAUGUUCUAAUCACUGUGAAGCUAAUAAGAGAUGCUUCCAAGUUUGGCAAAGGUGUGGAACUUCCGCUUGCACUCUUCGGAAUGGCUGGAAUGAACUUGCUUAAUGUAUUUUUGGGCAUUGAUCUGUUUAAAGCAUAUCAAAGAGAGAGGAGAACUCGAAAUCUAUCUUCAAAAUCAUCAUGAAUGACUGACUUGAAGGCCAAAAGUUGCUGUUCUUGUUAACCAAAUUACAGGUUGCUUAUGAGGCUUGAUGGUCAUUUCACCCCUGCAGCUGCAAAAUCGCAGAAAAUUUGCAAUUUAGACAGCUUAUGAUUGUUAAAGUUAAAGGAGUAUAACCAUUGCACAAACACCAAAUGUCGAAAGUCAACAAUUGAAGAGAAUCUUGAACUGAAAUGCGAAAAUGGACAUCAGAAAAGUUGAGAUAAUAAGAUGGUUAAGCUUGCUGGCCUUUGUGCAUUAUUCUGCAGUUACAAAUAGAGUUUUUAACGAGCCGAAUACUUAGUGUUCAGGUUCUAUUUGUAUAUUAUAAGUGUUCAGGUUCUAUUUGUAUAUUAU